rnacentral:rRNA from 1 species
GUUACCCGCAGAAGAAGCACCGGCUAACUCCGUGCCAGCAGCCGCGGUAAUACGGAGGGUGCAAGCGUUAAUCGGAAUUACUGGGCGUAAAGCGCACGCAGGCGGUCUGUCAAGUCGGAUGUGAAAUCCCCGGGCUCAACCUGGGAACUGCAUUCGAAACUGGCAGGCUAGAGUCUUGUAGAGGGGCGUAGAAUUCCAGGUGUAGCGGUGAAAUGCGUAGAGAUCUGGAGGAAUACCGGUGGCGAAGGCGGCCCCCUGGACAAAGACUGACGCUCAGGUGCGAAAGCGUGGGGAGCAAACACGAUUAGAUACCCUGGUAGUCCACGCCGUAAUCGAUGUCGACUUGGAGGUUGUGCCCUUGAGGCGUGGCUUCCGGAGCUAACGCGUUAAGUCGACCGCCUGGGGAGUACGGCCGCAAGGUUAAUACU